GAGUUUGAUCCUGGCUCAGGACGAACGCUGGCGGCGUGCUUAACACAUGCAAGUCGAACGAUGAAGUUAUGACGGAGGCUUCGGCCGACUGAAUGAUGGAUUAGUGGCGGACGGGUGAGUAACGCGUGAGUAACCUGCCUUUCAGAGAGGAAUAACAUUUGGAAACGAAUGGUAAUACCACAUAACAUUACGUUCUCGCAUGGGGAUGUAAUCAAAGAUUUAUCGCUGAGAGAUGGACUCGCGUCCGAUUAGCUAGAUGGUGAGGUAACGGCCCACCAUGGCGACGAUCGGUAGCCGGACUGAGAGGUUGAACGGCCACAUUGGGACUGAGACACGGCCCAGACUCCUACGGGAGGCAGCAGUGGGGAAUAUUGCACAAUGGGGGAAACCCUGAUGCAGCAACGCCGCGUGAAGGAAGACGGUCUUCGGAUUGUAAACUUUUGUUCUUGGUGAAGAAUAAUGACGGUAGCCAAGGAGGAAGCCACGGCUAACUACGUGCCAGCAGCCGCGGUAAUAC
rnacentral:rRNA from 1 species